GAGAACGGCGCGGGGCGGAGCGCUGAUUGGUUGCCGGGCGGGGCUGCGGCCCGCCCCUCGGGGGUCCCGUGAUGCCAGGUGGACGCGGCUCGUGUCCUGCGGGCGCUGAAGCGGCUCUGGCGACGCGGGGUUGUCGUGCUGCUCGGGACGGCUUUCGCUCCUCUGUGCUUGGCGGAGUUUUUCUGCGUUGCCCUCAGAGUCUGGGGAUGAGAUCCCUCCUCUUGUGAUCCAUCAGCACAUGAAGUAUUUCUGAAAGGAAACCGGUUGAACGUGUGAGACAACAGCUGCAUAAUGAGAACACUGGCAGUGCUGGAGUGCCACUGCCC